rnacentral:rRNA from 1 species
CCGGCGCACGGGUGAGUAACGCGUGUGCGACCUGCCCGGCACAGUGGGAUAAUCCGGAGAAAUCCGGUCUAAUACCGCAUGACGCGGGAAAGGCGCAUGCCUUUUCCGCCAAAGGAGGCGACUCCGGUGCCGGCUGGGCACGCGUGACAUUAGCUAGUUGGCGGGGCGACGGCCCACCAAGGCGACGAUGUCUAGGGGUUCUGAGAGGAAGGUCCCCCACACUGGUACUGAGACACGGACCAGACUCCUACGGGAGGCAGCAG